rnacentral:rRNA from 1 species
GGUGAGUAAUGCCUAGGAAUCUGNCUGGUAGUGGGGGACAACGUUUCGAAAGGAACGCUAAUACCGCAUACGUCCUACGGGAGAAAGCAGGGGACCUUCGGGCCUUGCGCUAUCAGAUGAGCCUAGGUCGGAUUAGCUUGUUGGUGAGGUAAUGGCUCACCAAGGCGACGAUCCGUAACUGGUCUGAAAGGAUGAUCAGUCACACUGGAACUGAGACACGGUCCAGACUCCUACGGGAGGCAGCAGUGGGGAAUAUUGGACAAUGGGCGAAAGCCUGAUCCAGCCAUGCCGCGUGUGUGAAGAAGGUCUUCGGAUUGUAAAGCACUUUAAGUUGGGAGGAAGGGUUGUAGAUUAAUACUCUGCAAUUUCGACGUUACCGACAGAAUAAGCACCGGCUAACUCUGUGCCAGCAGCCGCGGUAAUACAGAGGGUGCAAGCGUUAAUCGGAAUUACUGGGCGUAAAGCGCGCGUAGGUGGUUUGUUAAGUUGGAUGUGAAAGCCCCGGGCUCAACCUGGGAACUGCAUCCAAAACUGGCAAGCUAGAGUACGGUAGAGGGUGGUGGAAUUUCCUGUGUAGCGGUGAAAUGCGUAGAUAUAGGAAGGAACACCAGUGGCGAAGGCGACCACCUGGACUGAUACUGACACUGAGGUGCGAAAGCGUGGGGAGCAAACAGGAUUAGAUACCCUGGUAGUCCACGCCGUAAACGAUGUCAACUAGCCGUUGGAAUCCUUGAGAUUUUAGUGGCGCAGCUAACGCAUUAAGUUGACNNNCUGGGGAGUACGGCCGCAAGGUUAAAACUCAAAUGAAUUGANGGGGCCCGCACAAGCGGUGG